rnacentral:lncRNA from 1 species
AUCUAGUUUAGUUUAAACAUAUUUAUUUAUAGUGGAUUGGGAAACAAGUUUUGCAACUUAUAUUAAUCCCUUUCCACUUUGCAGGUGCGAGUGCUGCCUUGUAGCGGCAUUAGCCUGCUCUUUUUCGAAAUCUACAAGGGUGUCUUUAACGUGCAAGAGAUAUUGCUCUCUCUCUUAACACGGGUCAGCCAUUUAUCGUCCCCUUCCGACGGACUAUUAUCAUUUCCUCGAGACCAUACUCGCAUCUAGUUAACCUUAAGACUUUGUCUAAUAUCAGAAAAACUAUAAUUAUACUUAUUUUGCUGCAAGAUAUACCUCACACAUAACUAAUUAUGCAAUGCCAUGCAUUUAUAACUAUUUAACCGG